AUUUCACAGUCGUUGUGACUCAAAGGGACCAACACUGGUCAUUAUUAAAAGCGGAUCUUAUGUGUUUGGGGGAUUUGCAUCGCAAUCUUGGGGAGGAAACAGUCGUUACAUACGAGCAGCAAACUCUUUCAUUUUCUCCUUUAAAAACAAGGAUGGUCUGGCACCUUUUAAAUCAAAUACGUCCAAUAAUGCAUACGCCAUGUACACAAAUAGUUACUAUGGACCCACAUUUGGAUACGGUUUUGAUAUCUAUAUUGCUAACAACGCCGGAUCCAGUUCCAGCUCAUACACAAACUUCGGCUAUGGAUAUAAUCUACCAUCUGGCUAUUCUGCUGGGAACUCUAAAAACACGAAACCUGUUACCUGGGUCAUAUAGAUUUACACCAAAUGAGCUGGAAGUCUAUUAUUUUUCCACACGACUCGAGCAUUCUAAAGGAUAAAAAGAGAUGGAUAGGAAAGCUUGAACAAUGGCUGCCUUCGUACUUGAAUGACAAAAAAACGGUGCGCUGUUACCAUGCAACGAAAAAUGGAUGGUGAGGGAGGACAUUUCACAGUCGCUGUGGUUCAAAGGGACCAACAUUGGUUAUUAUUAAAAAGGGAUCGUAUGUGUUUGGGGCAUUUGCAUCAGAAUCUUGGGGAGGAGGACGUUCUGGUUACAUACAAGCACCAGAAGCUUUCAUUUUCUCCUUUAAAAACAAAGAUAAUCUUGCACCCUUUAAAUCCAAUGUUACAAGAUACAAACAAUAUUCAAUGUACACAUACAGCAGCUAUGGACCAACAUUUGGUGGUGGUCACGACAUUUAUAUCGCCAACAAUGCUGGGUCCUAUUCCAAUUCUUACACAAACUGUAGGAUCGAGAUGCAUAGAGCUUAGGUUAUGCUAAUUAUUAUGCUAAUUAUUAUGAAAAACAAAAAAGGGACCCGUAUAAAAGCAUGGUUCUUGGGGUCUUUUUGAGAUUGAGCACAAUUCAUGUAUAGUGGUGUAUUUUUUGUACAUGGAUGUUUAUAUUUAGUGGCCAAAUUACGAGGUAACGAUGAUUACGGCUUUAGGCCUCCUUGUCGGUUAUGUUAAUAUCUAUACUCUGUCGUUUAGAACCGUACGUUUGACGCAUUGCAUUGAAAUAAAGAUUUAUCUGUA